GCCAGUGUGGUGUAGUGGUUUGAGUGUCAGACUGCAACUCUGGAGACCAGGGUCCGAUUCCUAGCUUGGCCA